rnacentral:tRNA from 1 species
ACCUGACUGGCUCAGUCGGCAGAACAUGUGACUCUUGAUCUCAGGGUUGUGAGUUCAAGCCCCAUGUUGGGUG